GACAGAGGUGCCAAGCGUUAGGCGGAAUCACUGGGCUUAAAGCGUGUGUAGGCGGAUCGUUAAGUGCUUUGUGAAAUCCCACGGCUCAACCGUGGAACUGCUUGGCAUACUGGCGAUCUUGAGCCAUCUAGGGGUUGCUGGAACAAACGGUGGAGCGGUGAAAUGCGUAGAUAUCGUUUGGAACGCCAAAGGUGAAAACAGGCAACUGGGGAUGUGCUGACGCUGAGACACGAAAGCCAGGGGAG
rnacentral:rRNA from 1 species